CGUGGCUGCUGUUCGACCUUUACCGAGGAAGGUGCUGCAGGUUCCCUUCGUGCUUACAAAGGUUCCCUGGGGCAAAUGCCAAAGAGUGAAAGUGGACCAAAGGGUACCAGUGUGGUGACUGGAGACCCAGAUGCCUUCCCAGCUUGACCUUGCUGAGCUGCGCCUGGUGGGAAUUCCAAGCUCGGGCCUGGCUGGAGAGAAAGGACCCCCCUAGCCGUGUUUCCAGGGCACAGCCUGAAAGGGGACUGGACCUGGCACUGGACUGGACUCAUUCAGACCUCUGGCUUUCACUCUGAGGUGGGAAUGGGGUGUGGGGGUGUCGGCACUUGGAGAGGGUGCUCUGUGGCAGUGUGACCAGAUGAAAACCUCUAGGGCACAAAGCAGAAGAAGAAACAACUUGGUGAGAUCUUCCGUAUGAGUGGACAGGAGCUGCACAGCCGUGACUGUGGUCAGGGACUUCAAAAGCAGAAACUGGCCGGGUCCUCUCUGCCACCCCCCCUCCGUUCUUCCAAACACACAGAGAAAUCCUGGCCUCUCCUGUGGGUCCCCCAUCAGUCUCUCCUCCAGGGUGUCAGGGUUGCUGUGCUCAGGUGUGGGGGUCUGCUGUAGCUCAGGUGUGGAAUUCCAGGUGUGUUGACACCAUCCACCUUAAAUUCCUAGGGGCACAGAAUGUAUGGUGCAUUUUAUUCACCUCAGAAAUGAACAAAACAUGAAAUUAAAGAAAAUUUCAUUGA